rnacentral:tRNA from 2 species
UGGCCCAUAGCCAAGCGGUAAGGCAUCGGGUUUUGGUCCCGAGAUGCCCAGGUUCGAAUCCUGGUGGGCCAGCCA